rnacentral:rRNA from 1 species
UACGUAGGGGGCAAGCGUUGUCCGGAUUUAUUGGGCGUAAAGAGCUCGUAGGCGGUUUGUCGCGUCUGCUGUGAAAACCCGAGGCUCAACCUCGGGCCUGCAGUGGGUACGGGCAGACUAGAGUGCGGUAGGGGAGAUUGGAAUUCCUGGUGUAGCGGUGGAAUGCGCAGAUAUCAGGAGGAACACCGAUGGCGAAGGCAGAUCUCUGGACAGUUCCUGACACUGAGACACGAAGGCCAGGGGAGCAAACGGG